GCAUAUGUGAAUACAUUAAUGCAAAACAAGAUGGAAGAAAUAGUACUCGUAUACGAAAGAUAACAAAUAUCCGAAACUAAUACAGGACUAUAAAACACGAGCAGAAGACGUUACGAAUGCAGUGAAUACAAAUGCAGAAAACAUUUAUUUUCUUCCACUUUUACCACUUAAUCAGACAUAUUUAUAUACAUAGACGGAUGCACAACUAUCUUAGAGAAAUAAGACAAACAUUUUGUUUUUUUAACUGUAUAGUACGAUGUGGAAUAAAACGAAUUGUACAUUUAUAUUAUUCAUGAAAAAACAAAAA